UGGGGAAUUUUGGACAAUGGGCGAAAGCCUGAUCCAGCAAUGCCGCGUGUGUGAAGAAGGCCUUCGGGUUGUAAAGCACUUUUGUCCGGAAAGAAAUCCUUGGCUCUAAUACAGUCGGGGGAUGACGGUACCGGAAGAAUAAGCACCGGCUAACUACGUGCCAGCAGCCGCGGUAAUACGUAGGGUGCAAGCGUUAAUCGGAAUUACUGGGCGUAAAGCGUGCGCAGGCGGUUUGCUAAGACCGAUAUGAAAUCCCCGGGCUCAACCUGGGAACUGCAUUGGUGACUGGCAGGCUAGAGUAUGGCAGAGGGGGGUAGAAUUCCACGUGUAGCAGUGAAAUGCGUAGAGAUGCGGAGGAAUACCGAUGGCGAAGGCAGCCCCCAUGGGCCAAUACUGACGCUCAUGCACGAAAGCGUGGGGAGCAAACAGGAUUAGAUACCCUGGUAGUCCACGCCCUAAAACGAUGUCAACUAGUUGUUGGGGAUUCAUUUCCUUAGUAACGUAGCUAACGCGUGAAGUUGACCGCCUGGGGAGUACGGUCGCAAGAUUAAAACUUAAAUGAAUUGACGGGGUCAUAGCUGUUUCCU
rnacentral:rRNA from 1 species